rnacentral:rRNA from 1 species
AUAGGGGAGCCGUAGGGAAACCGAGUCUUAACUGGGCGAAUGAGUUGCAGGGUAUAGACCCGAAACCCGGUGAUCUAUCCAUGGGCAGGUUGAAGGUUGGGUAACACUAACUGGAGGACCGAACCGACUAAUGUUGAAAAAUUAGCGGAUGACUUGUGGAUGGGGGUGAAAGGCCAAUCAAACCGGGAGAUAGCUGGUUCUCCCCGAAAGCUAUUUAGGUAGCGCCUCGUGAACUCAUCUUCGGGGGUAGAGCACUGUUUCGACUAGGGGGUCAUCCCGACUUACCAACUCGAUGCAAACUGCGAAUACCGAAGAAUGUUAUCACGGGAGACACACGGCGGGUGCUAACGUCCGUCGUGAAGAGGGAAACAACCCAGACCGCCAGCUAAGGUCCCAAAGUCAUGGUUAAGUGGGAAACGAAGUGGGAAGGCUCAGACAGCCAGGAUGUUGGCUUAGAAGCAGCCAUCAUUUAAAGAAAGCGUAAUAGCUCACUGGUCGAGUCGGCCCGCGCGGAAGAUGUAACGGGGCUAAACCAUGCACCGAAGCUGCGGCAGCGACACAAAGUGUUGUUGGGUAGGGGAGCGUUCUGUAAGCCUGCGAAGGUGUACUGUGAGGUAUGCUGGAGGUAUCAGAAGUGCGAAUGCU